rnacentral:rRNA from 1 species
CCUGAUGACCAUAGCGAGGUGGAACCACCCCUUCCCAUCCCGAACAGGGCCGUGAAACGCUUCAGCGCCGAUGAUAGUGCAGACUACCUGUGCGAAAGUAGGACAUCGUCAGGC